rnacentral:tRNA from 1 species
UCCCUGGUGGUCCAGUGGUUAAGAAUCUGCCUUCCAAUGCAGGGAACCUGGGUUCGAUCCCUAGUCAGGGAA